UGCCCCAUGGCUUAGUUGGUUACGGCGUCCGACUGUUAUUUCCAAAGCGCAUCGGAAGAUCGAGAGUUCAAGUCUCUCUGGGGCAG